rnacentral:rRNA from 1 species
GAUGAACGCUGGCGGCGUGCCUAAUACAUGCAAGUCGAGCGAACAGACGAGGAGCUUGCUCCUCUGACGUUAGCGGCGGACGGGUGAGUAACACGUGGAUAACCUACCUAUAAGACUGGGAUAACUUCGGGAAACCGGAGCUAAUACCGGAUAAUAUAUUGAACCGCAUGGUUCAAUAGUGAAAGACGGUUUUGCUGUCACUUAUAGAUGGAUCCGCGCCGCAUUAGCUAGUUGGUAAGGUAACGGCUUACCAAGGCGACGAUGCGUAGCCGACCUGAGAGGGUGGUCGGCCACACUGGAACUGAGACACGGUCCAGGCUCCUACGGGAGGCAGCAGUAGGGAAUCUUCCGCAAUGGGCGAAAGCCUGACGGAGCAACGCCGCGUGAGUGAUGAAGGUCUUCGGAUCGUAAAACUCUGUUAUUAGGGAAGAACAAAUGUGUAAGUAACUAUGCACGUCUUGACGGUACCUAAUCAGAAAGCCACGGCUAACUACGUG